ACUGGUGAGUUUGUUUGUGUCAGACUCACAGAGCCGUGUCUCUCAGAGGUUUUUGUACGACGACUCGACCAGUUUGUAUCACUGUGGUACACGUUUGGUGGAGGAACCAGACUGGAGGUUGGAAGUGAUACCCGUCCCAUCCUGACGGUGCUGCCUCCCUCCAGUGAGGAGCUGCAGCAGGGGAAGGCCACGCUCAUGUGUCUGGCCAACAAGGGCUUCCCCUCAGACUGGAGUCUGUCCUGGAAGGUGGACGGCAGCAGCAGCAGCUGGGAGGAGGACAGGAGCCCCGUGGUGAUGAAGGACGGCCUCUACAGCUGGAGCAGCACCCUGAGGCUCACUGCAGACCAGUGGAGGAAGGUGGGCUCUGUGACCUGUGAGGCCACCCAGGGCUCCCAGUCUCCAGUCUCAGAGUCACUCAGGAGAGACCAGUGUCCCCAUUACUGAUGGGACUCACUGUGA